GUUCUGUUACCUAGUAACAGAACUUGUAAAAGACCAUCUAUUGCAUCCAGGGGAUAAAGGAUUUUAAGAAUAAUCACUUUUUCAGUAGACGACUGAAGUCUUCCUCAACAUGGAUACCUACAACAGCAAUGGGCCAAUUUUGUGGUUAUAUUCCCAUUAAUCUUUAGGACAUUAAAUGAAAAAAGUUAUUUAUAGUGCCAAAGAAGAAUGGAGAAAUUAGAAUUCAAAAUCACAUGCAUGAAAAUAAUGGGAAGAGCAAUACAGAUGGGAGAACUGUGGGUCCUCCUAUCAAACUUUUUUGGAGAAAAAACACAGAUGUAAAAUAAUAAAAUAAAUAAUUGAUUUGGGGCUGAAGGAGUUCAAGCCUAUA